UGGGAUGUAGCCAAGUGGUAAGGCAGUGGACUUUGACUCCACCAUUCGUAGGUUCAAAUCCUGCCAUCCCAG
rnacentral:tRNA from 1 species